UCAAGCUUGAGAACCACUGCCUCCGUGGAGCAUCUUCCUGGGCACCCUGAGCACCGGCUGGGAUGCAGACCCACGUUGCUAUCUGAUCUCAUCAGGCUUCUGCCAAGAGGCUAAAUGUCACAGAAGUCCCAGGGAUAGAUUCAGCAAGGACAGAGCCCCCAGAAGGCAGAGGAAAGGAUAGAACAGAGUGGACGUGGACAGACGUCGGUUCAGGAUGAAGCCUGAGAACACCCGAGCGCACCUGACCAUCCUGGCCCCUGCCCUGUGCUGUGCAGGCCCGGGGACACGCUGCGCUGGGGGCCGCAGAGUGUGGCAGAGGCUCUCGGGGGCAAUUGGACGUGAGCUAAGCCUUGGAAGAUUUGAAUGACUUACUUUGCCUGUUUGGAGGCAGGAAAGGGGGGAAACAACCUUAAACGACCUAUUUGAGGAGAGAGAGUGUCAUCACUGUGCUUGUGCAAUCGUGUCUGAAAGCUGGAUUCCUCUGGACCAACAAGGUACCCACGGACAGUGUCCUUUGGACCAAGUACUGUAUCAACCGUCGUUGUGGGUUAAACUCCAGAUCAUCCGUGUGCUAAUGACACCCAAUCUCUGAAGUCCAGACUUUUCUCUUCACAUUUACACACUCCUAUAUUCACGUAGGGGUAUUUUAGUCCUGAAGUGAACCUGUGUUCCUAGUUCCUAGAAACCCCUAAGGCUCUUGGUUUCCUUCUGGUUUAGUGGAACAAUGGAGAAAACCUAUAACCAGUUCUAGCUUCAAGCACCAUUCCCAUUCUGGUUCACACUGUAACUCUGAAAAAUCAGUUUUUUUCACAGUUUCAUCUCAUAUCCACCAGAAGAGACAAAAGAUCAUAAAAAUGGAAUUUAUUUGAGUUCAUCUUCCAACAACGUGGCCAGUUACUGCUUUAUUUAGCUUUAUUUACUUAGUUACUGCUUUACUUGUUUUUGAACAUUUAAUACAGUGCAGACAUUGGUCUAUGUAAGCGUUUUAUGUGCAUGCUACCAUUUAAUUUUUACAACAGCCUGUGAGGUAGGUGCCAUUGUCAUUCUCAUUUUAUACUUAAAAUGCCUGAGACUUAGAGAUAUUAACUGUGGUCAUACAGCCAGCAAGCAGCAGAGCUGUGGUUAAAACUCAC